rnacentral:tRNA from 1 species
UUGGUUCAUCACCUUGAACACUAGACCUGAUUUCUCUACGGACUUUUAAUCCGUUGGUCACUGGUUCGAAUCCAGUACGUCCUACCA